rnacentral:rRNA from 1 species
CUCAGAGUGAACGCUGGCGGUAGGCCUAACACAUGCAAGUCGAACGGCAGCACAGUAAGAGCUUGCUCUUAUGGGUGGCGAGUGGCGGACGGGUGAGGAAUACAUCGGAAUCUACCUUUUCGUGGGGGAUAACGUAGGGAAACUUACGCUAAUACCGCAUACGACCUUCGGGUGAAAGCAGGGGACCUUCGGGCCUUGCGCGGAUAGAUGAGCCGAUGUCGGAUUAGCUAGUUGGCGGGGUAAAGGCCCACCAAGGCGACGAUCCGUAGCUGGUCUGAGAGGAUGAUCAGCCACACUGGAACUGAGACACGGUCCAGACUCCUACGGGAGGCAGCAGUGGGGAAUAUUGGACAAUGGGCGCAAGCCUGAUCCAGCCAUACCGCGUGGGUGAAGAAGGCCUUCGGGUUGUAAAGCCCUUUUGUUGGGAAAGAAAAGCAGUCGAUUAAUACUCGGUUGUUCUGACGGUACCCAAAGAAUAAGCACCGGCUAACUUCGUGCCAGCAGCCGCGGUAAUACGAAGGGUGCAAGCGUUACUCGGAAUUACUGGGCGUAAAGCGUGCGUAGGUGGUUGUUUAAGUCUGUUGUGAAAGCCCUGGGCUCAACCUGGGAAUUGCAGUGGAUACUGGGCGACUAGAGUGUGGUAGAGGGUAGUGGAAUUCCCGGUGUAGCAGUGAAAUGCGUAGAGAUCGGGAGGAACAUCC